AGUGAGAUAGUAUAGUAUACUAGAAGAUACCCGCGACUUCGUCCGCGUUGAAUUUUUUAUUUUAUUUUAAUAUAACUGCAAUAUCUUAUUUGAUAUAACUGCAUUACCUCAAGCGCGUAUCAUUAGAAUCGCGCGUGACAAAAAAUAACGCAUCGAUAACAGUACGUCAUGGGUGAUUUGGAAAUCUAUUAUUACGGUUGUCGCCCUAAUGCGCCAUGCGCGAUUCAUAUAAUACGCGCUUGAGGUUAUCCAAGCACUAUGGUCGCCGCGGGGGCCAAGACGUGCGGCGCGGGAAAGGAGACGUGACAUCUGACAAUCGGCCGAGAAGAGCAGUUAAUUCCGAAACCUGAUCUAUAACAUAUUUGAAGCUCACGGAAAUCUGUUCUUUUUAUUUUUUGGAAAACAAUAGGUAGCCUAUGACCUUCCUAAGGAUGCAAUCUAUCUCCUUGCCAAGUUUUAUCGAAAUCUGUUCAGCGGUUUAGGCGUGAAAAAGUAACAAACAGACAGACAGACAGACAGAUAGACAGAGUUACUUUCGCAUUUAUAAUAUUAGUAUGGAUAUUAGAGCAAAGCAAAACUGUUGAGAGUGUGGUACAUUUCUAUAUAUUACAUUCUCAUAGAUUCGAGAAGUGCUGUCCUCAUUAAGAGAGCGGUUGUAUGACCGUAGAAACCCCAUACCGUACAGACAGAUGUGAAGUAUUGCAAGAAUCACAAAAGUUUCACCAGCAGGAAGUAGAAGGAGAGUCGGAGGAGAACAAUAAAUCAAAGAAGAGAGAAAUAGCAAAAUACUAGUAAGUAUAAAAGUAGCAGGAAAGUGUCAGCAGGAAUACAAAACCAACAUAAAAGGACUCGUUAAAAGGAACAAGUUAACCAAUUAAGAAGGUUCAAUUACAGCUGUGAGGAAAGAAAAGAAAAGAAGAAGAAAAUGAAAAGGAAAAGGAACGAAAAGAAACAAGGAACACCACACUGUCAUGUCGUCAUGAGAGGGACAAUACAACACCAUGGAGAGAUGUAGUGAAAUUGAAUUGAAUUAAAUAUCCAGAGAUGCAUAGCAGGUGAUAGGCCAAGAGACGAUAAUAAGAUAAAGUAGUGACAAGCGUGAUCGCAAUACAAAAAUAGAAUAAGAAAUGCCAGGAAGUAUAAUAAAAGAGAAAAUAAAGGAACAAAACAAGGAAGAAAGACCAGUAUCGAAUGACAAUGAAAGUGAAGUCAAAGUAAAGUAUGAAAUGAACAGCAAGCACAGCAAGGAUCGAUGCAAAAUAAAUAAAAUAAAAUAAAAUUAUAAAAAAAAAGAAAACCAUUGCAAUGUACAAAUACUGAAAUAUUGAAAUCAUUAACAGGAACCACCUAACAACCGCUAUCACAUCUGAGAGGAAUAGACAGAAUAGACAGAACAUUGUAUCAGCCUAAAAGAAAAUUAAUCAGAAAUAAAUCAAAAAUAAAUCAAAUCAGAUCAGUGUAUCAACUUUAAUCAAUCAAAAUCAAAAUGAAUGAAUAAUAAAUGAAUAAUGAAUGCGAGUGAACAGCUAAGAUAUUAACAAAUUAAGAAAAUAAAGAAAAUGUAAAGUGUAACGCCUAACAAACAUAGCCAAUCUAAUGUAAUAUAAUGUAAAAUAAAGUAAAAA